rfam:Octopus bimaculoides Scaffold8604_contig_16, whole genome shotgun sequence.
GUACUAACAACGGCGGUACAUAUUCUAAAAUUGGAACGAUGCUGAGAUUAGCAUGGCCCCUGUGUAAUGAUGACAUGCAAAUUCGUGAAGUGUUCCAUAUUUUU